rnacentral:misc_RNA from 1 species
CAGAGUUGCAAACUUCCCAACCCUGUGACACCCGAACUGCAUUGUUGACUCGGCGGGAGCCCCUCAAGGAGCCGACCGCGGCGGACUGCAAAUCUUUUGAACUACCAUUCUGAUUACUUAUUCAAUAAGUA